rnacentral:rRNA from 1 species
GAUGAACGCUGGCGGCGUGCCUAAUACAUGCAAGUCGAGCGAACGGACGAGAAGCUUGUUUCUCUGAUGUUAGCGGCGGACGGGUGAGUAACACGUGGAUAACCUACCUAUAAGACUGGGAUAAUUUCGGGAAGCCGGUGCUAAUACCAGAUAAUAUUUUGAACGGCAUGGAUCAAAAGUGAAAGACAGUCUUGCCGACACUAAUAGAUGAAUCCGCGCUGCAUUAGCUAGUUGGUAAGGUAACGGCCUACCAAGGCAACGAUGCAUAGCCGACCUGAGAGGGUUAACCGCCACACUGGAACUGCGACACGGUCCAGACUCCCUCGGGAGGGAACCGUAGGGAAUCUUCCGCAACGGGCGAAAGCCUUACGGAACCACUCCGCGUGCGUGAUGAAGGUCUUCGGAUCGUUAAACUCUGUUAUUAGGGAAAAACAUAUGUCUGAGUAACUGUGCACAUCUUGACGGUUCCUAAACAGAUAGCCACGGCUAACUCCGUU